rnacentral:rRNA from 1 species
CACUCCUACGGGAGGCAGCAGUGGGGAAUUUUGGACAAUGGGCGAAAGCCUGAUCCAGCAAUGCCGCGUGUGUGAAGAAGGCCUUCGGGUUGUAAAGCACUUUUGUCCGGAAAGAAAUCCUUGGCUCUAAUACAGUCGGGGGAUGACGGUACCGGAAGAAUAAGCACCGGCUAACUACGUGCCAGCAGCCGCGGUAAUACGUAGGGUGCGAGCGUUAAUCGGAAUUACUGGGCGUAAAGCGUGCGCAGGCGGUUUGCUAAGACCGAUGUGAAAUCCCCGGGCUCAACCUGGGAACUGCAUUGGUGACUGGCAGGCUAGAGUAUGGCAGAGGGGGGUAGAAUUCCACGUGUAGCAGUGAAAUGCGUAGAGAUGUGGAGGAAUACCGAUGGCGAAGGCAGCCCCCUGGGCCAAUACUGACGCUCAUGCACGAAAGCGUGGGGAGCAAACAGGAUUAGAUACCCGUGUAGUCCCAU